ensembl:snRNA U1 U1 spliceosomal RNA
AUACUUACCUAGCAGGGGAGAUACCAUGAUCACAAAGGUGGUUUUCCCAGGGCAAGACUCAUCCAUUGCACUCCAGAUGUGACCCCUAUGAUUUCCCCAAAUGUGAGAAACUUGACUGCAUAAUUUGUGGUUAUAAUUUUUUAAUUAAAAAAU